CCUUUUACCCGUCGUGAAGACGAAAACGCCAUUUUAUCCACAUGCCAGCUGCAAGGAAUGAAGAUGCUCGUCAAAGUUAAGUUCAGAAGUGAACAGAAGUAUGUGAAAGUUUCUCACAGCGAUUUGAAACUUUCCGAUUUUCUGGAUGAAGCCUUAGUGAAGUUCGGCAUCAGUGUCUCUAGUAGGCCCGAGGCCCG